rnacentral:rRNA from 1 species
AGUGAACGCUGGCGGUGCGCCUAACACAUGCAAGUCGAACGCCCCGCAAGGGGAGUGGCAGACGGGUGAGUAACGCGUGGGAACAUACCCUUUCCUGCGGAAUAGCUCUGGGAAACUGGAAUUAAUACCGCAUACGCCCUACGGGGGAAAGAUUUAUCGGGGAAGGAUUGGCCCGCGUUGGAUUAGCUAGUUGGUGGGGUAAAGGCCUACCAAGGCGACGAUCCAUAGCUGGUCUGAGAGGAUGAUCAGCCACAUUGGGACUGAGACACGGCCCAAACUCCUACGGGAGGCAGCAGUGGGGAAUAUUGGACAAUGGGCGCAAGCCUGAUCCAGCCAUGCCGCGUGAGUGAUGAAGGCCUUAGGGUUGUAAAGCUCUUUCACCGAUGAAGAUAAUGACGGUAGUCGGAGAAGAAGCCCCGGCUAACUUCGUGCCAGCCGCCGCCGUAA